UGGUGGAUUGAUUUGUCUGGUUUAUUCCGUUAACGAACGAGACCUCAACCUACUAACUAGACCUUGUUAGAUCUUCUAGCAAGGAGAUUAGCUUCUUAGUGGGACAAACCGAUUCCAAGCGGUUGGAAGUUUGAGCCAACAACA
rnacentral:rRNA from 1 species